AAGAGGCUAAUGGGAAGUAACAUUCUUCCAAUGGGUGUCAUCAGUCAGUGAAUUCUAGGAGUUGGCAAGCAACAAUAAAAGUAGCUUAUGAAAGAGCAAGAAAUGAGUAGAAACACCCAAAAUUGGCCAGUAGAAUAUGCAAAUAUUCUCCACAGUUGCCUAUGAAAUUAAGAAAGGAGAAUGUGAAGGGAACAUGCAUAUCUGCAAUCCUGCAAGAGUUCAUGAGUUGUUGCAGGGGAAGAUGAUAGAGGGCCCUUUUUGGCAACACCUGGAGACCAGUCACACCUGGAGACCCUUUAGUGAAACUCAGGAAUGGAAAGGAGAAUAGAAAGCAUCCAAAGUAUUCUGGUGGACCACACAAUGAUGCUGCUCAAACCUGAUCAACCAGCUGCUAGUAAUGCUGCCAGCUUUGAGGAAUUGGCAGCCUGUCUACAACACCUGGAGAAAUGAUGGAUGUAUACCUAUUGGAGUGCUACACAGACCCCUAAAGAAGUUAAUUUGGAUUUGCACAUAUUUAGCUGGUUCCUAGUGGCAUAGUCCUCAGGAGUUUUCAACCUUAGCACUCUAAUAUUGCUUAAAAAAAAAAGACUAUCUUCCAAUCAAUCAGUUAUAACUGUUUAUAGAAAAUAAAGGGAACAUAGUGAAGUGAUUAGAAAAACA
rnacentral:lncRNA from 1 species